CUAGGAUACAGUCUAACCAAAAAAAAUAGGGAAAAGAGAGGGAGCAAGUAUUGAGAGAAAAAGAAUGAGAAGGGUUGAGAGAAUGAACAAAGAGAAAUAAGAAGUCUUGAAAGAAUAAGGAAGGAAUAUGAAGUGGAAACAGAUGGAUUAAUUCUAAUGAAGUGGAGCAGAGAAAGGAGAACUCUGACUUUCUUUUCUAAUGACUAUGCCCAAGACCCUUCAAUGCCACAAAAUUUGGGAAAAAUAAAUUUAAGGAUAAGAGGUA